rnacentral:rRNA from 1 species
ACGGGGGGUGCAAGCGUUGUUCGGAUUCAUUGGGCGUAAAGAGCGUGUAGGCGGUUUGUUAAGUCAGAUGUGAAAGCCCUGGGCUCAACUUGGGAAGUGCAUUGGAAACUGGCAGACUUGAGUACGGGAGAGGGUAGUGGAAUUCCUAGUGUAGGAGUGAAAUCCGUAGAUAUGAGGAGGAACACCGGUGGCGAAGGCGGCUACCUGGACCGAUAUUGACGCUGAGACGCGAAAGCGUGGGGAGCAAACAG